rnacentral:rRNA from 1 species
CCAGCACCUGCGGUAAUUCCAGCUCCAAUAGCGUAUAUUAAAGUUGUUGCAGUUAAAAAGCUCGUAGUUGGAUUUCUGGCGGGAUGAACACGCCCUCAGCUGAGUGUGCAUGAGCGUCUCACCAUCCUUCUGUUAACCCUUAAGGUUUUAACGACCUUCUGGGGGCUCAGAUAUUUUACCUUGAGAAAAUUAGAGUGUUUCAGGCAGGCUAGCGCCGGGAUACAUUAGCAUGGAAUAAUGGAAUAGGACUUUUUCCUCUUCUGUUGGUCUGAGGGGUUCGAGUAAUGAUUAAUAGGGAUAGUUGGGGGCAUUAGUACUUUGCUGUCAGAGGUGAAAUUCUCGGAUUUGCAAAAGACUAACUUAUGCGAAAGCAUUUGCCAAGGAUGUUUUCAUCGAUCAAGAACGAAAGU